AAAGAGAGCACUGAAAAGUGAUAGCAAGCUGUUUAUGUAAUUUGAAAUCAACCAGAACUUUCUAGGUGAGCUUAUUAUUAGUAUAAAAGCCAUACAAUCUGGAUUUCCUCUUCCACAUACAUACCAAAAUAGAGCUUCAGAGUUCAGAUUGAGCCUUUUUGCCUAGCAGCUAGCUGAAGAUGAGCGAUCCAAAAUAUGCUUAUCCCUACCCUGCUCAAGGCCAAGCAGGUUAUUAUCAAGGCCCUCCAGUAGUGGCACCUCCACAAUAUGCUUAUGCUCCACCACCCAAAAGAGAACCAGGUUUCCUAGAGGGAUGUCUUGCUGCUUUGUGUUGCUGCUGCCUUAUUGACGAGUGUUGCUGCGACCCUUCUAUCCUCUUCCUCUGCUGAAUCCUCAUUAGUCAUUAUCAGUGACAUAUCUGCGUAUAUCCCUGCGUACAUAUGCUUGGAUUAGUUCAACUUUACCUGUCCAUGUAAUGUGAGGUCUUGCUUGAUAUUGAAUCUGUAGUUGUAAUUGUGCACAAGACUCAUCUACGUAAUCGUUUCCAUUGUCCUAGUUUGAUCUGUUGGAUCUUCGACUUAAUUUGUUCGUGUUGA